rnacentral:lncRNA from 10 species
GCGGCGUCUGCGUCUGCAGCUGCAGGGGAGGAGGACUGGGUCCUUCCCUCUGAAGUUGAAGUAUUGGAGUCCAUCUAUCUAGAUGAACUACAGGUGAUUAAAGGAAAUGGCAGAACUUCACCAUGGGAGAUCUACAUCACUUUGCAUCCUGCCACUGCAGAGGACCAGGAUUCACAGUAUGUCUGCUUCACUCUGGUGCUUCAGGUCCCAGCAGAGGUGAAGCCCCUACUGUGUGGCAGCAAAGGGAGGAAGGGGAGAGUCCCUGGGGUGGACCGCUUCAGCAGUAACUUGUUAUUUGCCCCCACUAGUAUCCCCAUGAGGUGCCACAGAUCUCUAUCCGAAAUCCCCGAGGACUUUCAGAUGAACAGAUCCACACGAUCUUACAGGUGCUGGGCCACGUGGCCAAGGCUGGGCUGGGCACUGCCAUGCUGUAUGAACUCAUUGAGAAAGGGAAGGAAAUUCUCACAGAUAACAACAUCCCUCAUGGCCAGUGUGUCAUCUGCCUCUAUGGUUUCCAGGAGAAGGAGGCCUUUACCAAAACACCCUGUUACCACUACUUCCACUGCCACUGCCUUGCUCGGUACAUCCAGCACAUGGAGCAAGAGCUGAAGGCACAAGGACAGGAGCAGGAACAGGAACGGCAGCA